rnacentral:ncRNA from 1 species
AUGGCUCAGUGAGGCCUUGGGAUUGGCCAGGGGAGAUGGGCAACCAUCACCCCAGGCCGAAAACUUGGUCAAACUUGGUCAUUUAGAGGAAGUAAAAGUCGUAACAAGGUUUCUGAUCCUUCCAAUGGUGAACGUCAUUCAGGAAGCCUUUGUCGCCUGAAAGGGUGUGCAUACCGCGACUCUAAACAAUGUAAGUAUGUCAAGGACAAGUCGGGGGUCUGUGAAGGCUCCCGGCGACGCUGUCAAAUUGCGGGGAGUCCCUUAGAGCUUUCACUACUAAGCGGUGUCCGAAAGGUCACCGUGGCCAGGGUAAUGCCCUCGGGUACAGUCACAACGUGGAAGAUUGGGUAACCUGCAGCCAAGUCCUGUCGCCUGGAGAGAGCGGUACAAAGCUUUCUACAGGCGUGGAUGCUGUUCACAGGCCAAAUGGUAGCGGGUUCGGCUGCGGCCGGGCUCAAGAUAUGGUCGGUCCUGCGAGGAAACUUGCGGGGAGUUCGCCGGGUUGUUGGGCUCUCGUUGCACGAGUGGCGCACAACCAGUAACAAGAAAACAAACGUUCCGUAGGUGAACCUGCGGAAGGAUCAUUACCGAGCUAGGGCCCCGACCGCCGGGGCCCGACCUCCCAACCCGGUGUCUAUCUAAACCUAUACGUGUUGCUUCGGUCGACCGGUGGACUCUCUCGCCUUUUGGCGGGGGGUGGUUCGCCGCCGGGGGAAAAAUACAUCAACUCCCCUGGAGAGCGUCGGCCGGUGGCCCAACCAAAAAGCUCUUAACCACAACCUUGAACUGAAUCUUUAUCGUCCCUCUGAUAGCUAUCAGAGCGUGAACAAAAACAAAAACAAAAACUUUCAACAACGGAUCUCUUGGUUCUGGCAUCGAUGAAGAACGCAGCGAAAUGCGAUAAGUAAUGCGAAUUGCAGAAUUUCCGUGAGUCAUCGAAUCUUUGAACGCACAUUGCGCCCUUUGGUAUUCCGAAGGGCAUGCCUGUUCGAGCGUCAUUAUCCUUCCCUCAAAUCCCGCCUUGGGAUUUGGUGUUGGACCGCGUUGGGGGGCGUAUUGUCCCGCCAACGGGUCUCAAAGGCAGUAACGGCGUCCGUUGGACCCUCCUCGCACUGAGCUUUUUUCGGAGCACGCCUGGAGUCGCAAGGUCCAAGGGGCACGGUCUUCUAUUUUUUUUUUUCUAGGUUGACCUCGGAUCAGGUAGGAAUACCCGCUGAACUUAAGCAUAUCAAUAAGCGGAGGAAAAGAAACCAACAGGGAUUGCCUCAGUAACGGCGAGUGAAGCGGCAACAGCUCAAAUUUGAAAUCUGGCCUUCACGGUCCGAGUUGUAAUUUGUAGAGGAUGUUUUGGGCACCGCCCCGGGUUAAAUUUCUUGGAACAGAAUGUCAAAGAGGGUGAGAGUCCCGUCUUGGCCCGCGGUAGGACCUGUGUAAAACUCCUUCGACGAGUCGACUUGUUUGGGAAUGCAGGUCAAAAUGGGUGGUAAAUUUCAUCUAAAGCUAAAUAUUGGCCAGAGACCGAUAGCGCACAAGUAGAGUGAUCGAAAGAUGAAAAGCACUUUGAAAAGAGAGUUAAACAGUAUGUGAAAUUGUUGAAAGGGAAGCGCUGGCAACCAGACUCGAGCGCGGUGUUCCCCCCGGCUUCUGCCUGGGUAUACUUCACCGUGACCGGGCCAUCAUCAGUUUUAGGGGUCGGUCAAAGGCCCGGGGAAUGUAUCCUCUCCUCCGGGGGAGGACUUAUAGCCCCGGGCGUCAUGCGGCCUCCCGAGACUGAGGAACGCGCUUCGGCGAGGAUGAUGGCGUAAUGGUUGUCAGCGACCCGUCUUGAAACACGGACCAAGGAGUCUAACAUCUAUGCGAGUGUUCGGGUGUCAAACCCCUGCGCGGAAUGAAAGUGAACGGAGGUAGGAAGGCCUAAGCCUGCACUAUCGACCGAUCCUGAUGUCUUCGGAUGGAUUUGAGUAAGAGCAUAGCUGUUGGGACCCGAAAGAUGGUGAACUAUGCGUGAAUAGGGUGAAGCCAGAGGAAACUCUGGUGGAGGCUCGCAGCGGUUCUGACGUGCAAAUCGAUCGUCAAAUUUGCGUAUAGGGGCGAAAGACUAAUCGAACCAU